rnacentral:tRNA from 1 species
UGGGGAAUAGUUCAAUGGUAGAACGACGGACUCUGACUCCGUUAAUCUUGGUUCGAAUCCGGGUUCCCCAGCCA